UACGGGGGGGGCAAGCGUUGUUCGGAUUUACUGGGCGUAAAGCGCGCGUAGGCGGGUCACUAAGUCAGGGGUGAAAUCCCGAGGCUUAACCUCGGAACUGCCUUUGAUACUGGUGACCUGGAGAUCGGGAGAGGUUGGUGGAAUUCCGAGUGUAGAGGUGAAAUUCGUAGAUAUUCGGAGGAACACCAGUGGCGAAGGCGGCUUACUGGACCGGAACUGACGCUGAGGCGCGAAAGCGUGGGGAGCAAACGGG
rnacentral:rRNA from 1 species